rnacentral:rRNA from 1 species
UGGGGAAUAUUGGACAAUGGGCGCAAGCCUGAUCCAGCCAUGCCGCGUGAGUGAUGAAGGCCCUAGGGUUGUAAAGCUCUUUCACCGGUGAAGAUAAUGACGGUAACCGGAGAAGAAGCCCCGGCUAACUUCGUGCCAGCAGCCGCGGUAAUACGAAGGGGGCUAGCGUUGUUCGGAUUUACUGGGCGUAAAGCGCACGUAGGCGGACUAUUAAGUCAGGGGUGAAAUCCCGGGGCUCAACCCCGGAACUGCCUUUGAUACUGGUAGGCUUGAGUUCGAGAGAGGUGAGUGGAAUUCCGCGUGUAGAGGUGAAAUUCGUAGAUAUUCGGGGGAAAACCAGUGGCGAAGGCGGCUCACUGGCUCGAUACUGACGCUGUGGUGCGAAAGCGUGGGGAGCAAACAGG